rnacentral:rRNA from 1 species
AGCAGCCGCGGUAAAUUCCAGCUCCAAUAGCGUAUAUUUAAGUUGUUGCAGUUAAAAAAGCUCGUAGUUGAAUUUGGGGCCCGGCGGAGCGGUCGCCCUUUCCGGGUUGUACUGCUUCCGGGCCUUUCCUUCUGGCGAACCAGCCAUGCUCUUGACUGAGUGUGCUGGGGAUCCAGGCUUUUACUUUGAAAAAAUUAGAGUGUUCAAAGCAGGCAAUCGCUUGGAUACAUUAGCAUGAAUAAUGGAAUAGGACAAUGGUUCUAUUUGU